rnacentral:rRNA from 1 species
UAAAAACCCCGACUUCGGAAGGGGUGUAUUUAUUAGAUACAAAACCAAUGCCCUUCGGGGCUCUUUGGUGAUUCAUGAUAACUAUACGAAUCGCACGGCCUUGCGCCGGCGAUGGUUCAUUCAAAUUUCUUCCCUAUCAACUUUCGAUGUUUGGGUAUUGGCCAAACAUGGUUGCAACGGGUAACGGAGGGUUAGGGCUCGACCCCGGAGAAGGAGCCUGAGAAACGGCUACUACAUCCAAGGAAGGCAGCAGGCGCGCAAAUUACCCAAUCCCGACUCGGGGAGGUAGUGACAAUAAAUACUGAUACAGGGCCCUUUCGGGCCUUGUAAUUGGAAUGAGUACAAUUUAAAUCCCUUAACGAGGAACAAUUGGAGGGCAAGUCUGGUGCCACCAGCCGCGGUAAUUCCAGCUCCAAUAGCGUAUAUUAAAGUUGUUGUGGUUAAAAAGCUCGUAGUUGAACCUUGGGCCUGGCUGGCCGGUCCGCCUCACCGCGUGCACUGGUCCGGCCGGGCCUUUCCCUCUGUGGAACCCCAUACCCUUCACUGGGCGUGGCGGGGAAACAGGACAUUUACUUU